AAUGAACGCUGGCGGCAGGCCUAACACAUGCAUGUCGAACGGAUCCUUCGGGAUUAGUGGCGGACGGGUGAGUAACGCGUGGGAACAUACCCUUUGGUACGGAAUAGCCUCGGGAAACUGGGAGUAAUACCGUAUGUGGUCGAGAGACGAAAGAUUUAUCGCCAAAGGAUUGGCCCGCGUUGGAUUAGGUAGUUGGGGGGGUAAUGGCCUACCAAGCCGACGAUCCAUAGCUGGUUUGAGAGGAUGAUCAGCCACACUGGGACUGAGACACGGCCCAGACUCCUACGGGAGGCAGCAGUGGGGAAUCUUAGACAAUGGGGGAAACCCUGAUCUAGCCAUGCCGCGUGAUCGAUGAAGGCCUUAGGGUUGUAAAGAUCUUUCAGGUGGGAAGAUAAUGACUGUACCACCAGAAGAAGCCCCGGCUAACUCCGUGCCAGCAGCCGCCGUAAAAC
rnacentral:rRNA from 1 species